GAUGAAGGACGCAGCGAAAUGCGAUACGUAAUGUGAAUUGCAGAAUUCAGUGAAUCAUCGAGUCUUUGAACGCACAUUGCGCCCCCUGGUAUUCCGGGGGGCAUGCCUGUCCGAGCGUCAUUGCUGCCCUCAAGCACGGCUUGUGUGUUGGGCCUCCGUCCUCCUCCCGGGGGACGGGCCCGAAAGGCAGCGGCGGCACCGCGUCCGGUCCUCGAGCGUAUGGGGCUUCGUCACCCGCUCUUGUAGGCCCGGCCGGCGCUUGCCGACACAUCAAUCUUUUUUCCAGGUUGACCUCGGAUCAGGUAGGGAUACCCGCUGAACUUAAGCAUAUCAUAAGCGGAGGA
rnacentral:misc_RNA from 1 species